UACGUAGGUGGCAAGCGUUGUCCGGAAUUAUUGGGCGUAAAGCGUGCGCAGGCGGUUAUGUAAGACAGGUGUGAAAUCCCAGGGCUUAACCUUGGAACUGCAUUUGUGACUGCAUAGCUAGAGUACGGUAGAGGGGGAUGGAAUUCCGCGUGUAGCAGUGAAAUGCGUAGAUAUGCGGAGGAACACCGAUGGCGAAGGCAAUCCCCUGGACCUGUACUGACGCUCAUGCACGAAAGCGUGGGGAGCAAACAGG
rnacentral:rRNA from 1 species